CGUGUGCGCUUCCGAUCUGAAAGAUAUCGUCCGAUUCUCCUUCUAUUGAUUCUUUUCCGAUCGAGAUGUACGGGUCCAUGUGUCUACAUACAUAGAUUCUGUUCAUGGAUUAACGAAAAUGUGCAAGAGCUCUAUCUGCCUCUGCCAUUC